CCAAUAGCGUAUAUUAGUGUUGUUGCGGUUAAAAAGCUCGUAGUUGAAUUUCGGGAUUGGGAUAUCUCGGUCAUGCCUUUAGGGGCAUGAAUCGGUGUGUAGCCAAUUUCUCACCUUCUGGUGAAUUGGGAUGCUCUUGGGUGUUUCAAUGAACUAGGACUUUUACUUUGAAAAAAAUAUAGUGUUUAAAGCGGGCAUUUUUGCUUGAAUACAUUAGCAUGGAAUAAUAAAAUAGGACGAUGGUUCUAUUUUGUUGGUUUUAGGACCACGUAAUGAUUAAUAGGGAUAGUUGGGGGCAUUAGUAUUCAAUAGUCAGAGGUGAAAUUCUUGGAUUUAUUGAGGACUAACUACUGCGAAAGCAUUUGCCAAGGAUGUUUUCAUUAAUCAAGAACGAAAGUUAGGGGAUCGAAGACGAUUUAUGUACGUCGUAGUCUUAACCACAAACUAUGCCGACUAGGAAUCAGACAAAGUUCAUUUUUUAACGACUUGUUUGGUACCUUACG
rnacentral:rRNA from 1 species